rnacentral:rRNA from 1 species
UUCUCGAAUUUAAAAGAGCUAAAAAUUUUAUUGUAAUAAAUAUUUAAAAUUUGUAAUGAAAUGUUAAUAUAUCUAGUUAUCUAAGAAAAUUUAAUUUUUUUAUUUAUAAGGGGAUAAGCUUUUAUUAGGAUUAGAAGUGUUGUUAUAAUUAAUUUAUUAGAUUAUAAAUUUAAAUUAUGUUAGUAAUAAUGAUAUAAUUAGUAAAAGAUUGAGUAAAGGAAUUCGGCAAAUAUUUUUCACCUGUUUAUUAAAAACAUGGCCUUUUGACUAUAAUAUUAGGUUUGGCCUGCCCACUGAGGCCGCGGUAUUUUGACCGUGCUAAGGUAGCAUAAUCAUUAGUUUUUUAAUUGGAAGCUGGUAUGAAUGGUCGGAUGAAAAAAUAACUGUCUCUAUUCAAUUGAAUUUUAUUUUUAAGUAAAAAAGCUUAAAUAUUUUUAAAAGACGAGAAGACCCUAUAGAGUUUUAUUUUGAUUGGGGCGAUUGAAAAAUUUAAUAAACUUUUGAUUAUAAGAUUAAAUUACCUUAGGGAUAACAGCGUAAUUUUUUUUAGAGUUCAAAUCGAAAAAAAAGUUUGCGACCUCGA